UACAGAGGGGGCAAGCGUUUGUUCGGAAUUACUGGGCGUAAAGGGCGCGUAGGCGGCCAACUAAGUCGGACGUGAAAUCCCCGGGCUCAACCCGGGAACUGCGUCCGAUACUGGAUGGCUUGAAUCCGGGAGAGGGAUGUGGAAUUCCAGGUGUAGCGGUGAAAUGCGUAGAUAUCUGGAGGAACACCGGUGGCGAAGGCGGCAUCCUGGACCGGUAUUGACGCUGAGGCGCGAAAGCCAGGGGAGCAAACGGGG
rnacentral:rRNA from 1 species